rnacentral:rRNA from 1 species
UACGAAGGGGGGCUAGCGUUGCUCGGAAUCACUGGGCGUAAAGCGCACGUAGGCGGGUUGCUAAGUCGGGGGUGAAAUCCUGGAGCUCAACUCCAGAACUGCCUUCGAUACUGGCGACCUAGAGUCCGGGAGAGGUGAGUGGAACUCCGAGUGUAGAGGUGAAAUUCGUAGAUAUUCGGAAGAACACCAGUGGCGAAGGCGGCUCACUGGCCCGGUACUGACGCUGAGGUGCGAAAGCGUGGGGAGCAAACAGG